AUUCUAUGUUGAAACACUCUUAUCUUCCCUUACUUUAGAUUCGUCAGACUCGCAAGCGUUUUAAUCGUGCAAUGCAGCAACAAUUAAAUAUAUUAAAUAAGAAGAUGAGAACACACUAUUUUUCUUUUACGUGGUAAAACCCACACACAUUCGGAAAAUUUCAAGAGCACGCUGCCGGUUGAAGAAUCCACAAUUGUCAAACAAACAAGUACAAAACUCAUACAAGACAAUUUUUUUUUUUUUUUUUGAAAAAUAAUAUCAUGGGUUAAAUAGUUUGUUGUUAGGGUGGAGGAGAAUCGGCAGUGAUCGAACUCACACCAUAAUGCAUAGACAUAAUUGCUUUCAACUACUAUUAGUUGCACACCUCUAGUUGCGAAUGUAGUCACUUCAGAGUGUUGGAAGUAUGCCCACAAGGCCACUCAUUUGAUGUAAUAGCUUUUGAAUACUUAUUGUGUUAAACUAUUAUAUGUUUAAUGAAGGGCAAAUCUUAUUGUUAAUCACUAUUAAUGUAUUAUGCGUUUAAGCAAUAAGGGAAUCCAAGGAAUGCAUUUAAUCUAAGAGAGAAGUGAUCUAAGUAAGUUAGAUUAACGAGACAUUUCUUUUAUAUUCAUUCCUAAAACGUUCCUAGCCACAAGAUUGCCAAUUGGGCAUUGACAAUCCAUUAAGGUUAGUAUGUGUUAUGUUAACUCAAGCGUAAGUAUGACUAGUCUCAAGUCAUUCAGUGUUGGACACUAGGACAAACACAUAGGUGCUCAAAAGAUAAUUGAGUGCACUGAACAACGAUCAAAAGGGAGUUUGAACAUACAUGUCAUGUAAGAACUCUUAAGUUGCAAUAUGCAAAGUAGUACUUUGACCUGAGGCAUCAUAGAUGUCUAAUGGUUGGAUCCUUGAUCUUUAAUUCUGUUAAAGGCAUUCCAUUGAGAGUGUCCACGACAUUGUUGGGGUCAAACUAUCUAGUCAUGUAGGCAUAUGAAUGCACAACAAAGGAUCUCUAACAUUCCAUGGUAGAGGGAGAAUACUCUGAGAUAUGAUUCGGGAGUCUUUGGCCAAAGCAUAUGAAUAUGACUUAGGAAGUUUGUUCCAAAUCAUAUUCAGUUGAAUCAUAUAGAGAAGUAUCACAUUGGAUAGUAGACAUGAAACAAACUAUCACUCAAACAAUGUGAUUAAGAGUAUUGUAUUAGAGAAUGACCGUAUUGCAUUGUAAUUGUAACUGGAUAGGUUCUCCAAUCACUUCUACUUAGCUUGGGUAGCCAUGACAUACUGUUAGGUGUCACUCAUGGUUUGUGGAAACCCUGAAGAUUAGCAAACACUAAUCUUCAUCAAAGGGAGAAUUGAAAUGUAGUUUCAAUUCAUAAUCGAUCGUUAAGAGUAACAAUCGCCAAUUACCUCGCUAAUUGGAACCUACUAGAUCGUACACCGAUUAAGGAUGAAAGUAAAGAAAUAUAUAUGAGAUGGAUAAGCAAUUAAAUAGUUUAAUUGAGAAUGGUCAAGAUUAAUUAAUUAGUUAAUUAAUCUUACGAAAGGUUCUUAUUGGGCUUUUAAGUUGGUUUUAGGUUUCGGGGCCCAAAAGGGUUUUUGGUCCACAAGACCCAUUGAGUUCAGGUUGUUUGACAACUAAAACUAAAUGGAAAUUAACCCAAAAACAAAGUCAAAACCAGCCUAGGGUAAGUGGAUGCAAACUUGGCUUAAUUACAAGUUUGCCACUCACAUGUGAGGUUUUAUAAAGGCAACUUUAUAGCCAUUAUCUAAAAAGGGAUUUCUUGAGGAAAAGAAGAAAAACUUUUUCUCUCUUUUUCUCCAUAGAGGCCGGCCACUUAGGGGAGGGAUAGCUAGCAAUCUUUCUUCCUCUGAGUCAUCCAUUUCAUCUUCACAUCUCAUCCUUGGUGUGGAGACUUAGAGACACCAAACAUUUGGUGUUCUUGGAGAUCCUUUCAUCAAAUCCUCAAGGAGCAAAGGAGUAUCAAAAGGAAGAAAAUCACAAGGAAGAUCUAAGGAGCUAGGAGGUGACUUGAAGGCCCUCCACUUGGGUGAAUCCCUUGUGUAAACAAGGAUGAGCUUCAAGGGUAAUGAAUCUCAAAAUCUUUUCUUCUCUUUAAUGUUGUUAAAGAGUCUUGUGGUUCACCAUUCACUAGGCUUUGAAAGUCAUGGGUUUUAGAAUUGUUUUGAAUGCAUGCCUACUUUAAAGUGUUAUUAGUUUGCAUAUGUGUUCAAAUGUUCUCACAUGUUCUUAGCUAGGACAAAAUUUUUCAUUCACAAAGCUCCAAGCUUUGUGAAUAUAGCUUCAUCAUGCAUAAUGAAGGAUACGA
rnacentral:lncRNA from 1 species